AAUUGGGAUGAUGAGAAUGUUCCCUUAGGUGGGGGCUAGAGGCCGUUUUGGUCCCAGUUACUGCACCCACCGGUGAUAGGAUCUGUCAUAGUUACACUGACCAUAU
rnacentral:snoRNA from 1 species